rnacentral:lncRNA from 1 species
UUUUUUUCUUUUUUUUUUUUUUUUCCCGGUCUUUUUGCCUUUUCUAGGGACACUCCAGCGGCAUAUGGAGAUUUCCAGGCUAGGGGUCUAACUGGCCUACAUCAGAGCCACCGCAACAAGGGAUUCGAGAAGUUCUUAACCCACUGAGCAAGGCCAGGGAUCGAACCUACAACCUCAUGGUUCCUAGUCAGAUUCGUUAACCACUGAGCCACGACGGGGACUCCAAGAAUAUGUUUCUAAUUACCUACAGCAUCCCCCCUGCUACUCCCUGACCCCAUCCCUCCCCAAGCUCUGGGGCUGCAGACAUAGAGGUGACAGGUUACUCUGACACUGAGGAUUUAAUUAGACCCCUGGCUGGCCGGCAGUGGGGGUUGUCUGCUCCCCGAGCAGCAUGCGCAGGCUUGUGCCCCAAGGUCUGCUCUGUGGUCUCCCCUCCACUCAGUUCCCGUUAACUGCCUCCUCCCCUUUGACCCCCUCGCCUGCCUCACCAGGCACCCCUUUGGUCCCCUUUUCCCGAUUCCCCAAUAUCCCAGCUGCCAGCCUCCUCCCAGCUCCCUCCCACACCAUCGUGCCUUUCUUUUUCUAGGUCGGCGGUGACGCAGGGGUCUGGCAUACAAGGGGAGCAUCUCUGGCUGGGCAUGUUUCAGGAUCACUUACUGCACAGCCAUAUCCCACCCCCCAGAAGUGGGGCUGAGCAGGAGCCCCAAGUCUUGGGCGCCUCAUGACAUUCCUGGAGUAACUCUGUAGUGGAAUCUGGUCCAGAGGGCAGAGGAGUUGGGAAAGGCAGCCUUUUCCUGGAAGGAGUUGAAGGAAUGGCCAUGGCUGGAAUCUCAGAGCCCUGCUGGGAGAAGGGGCAGGAGCUUUGACCAUCUCUCCGGAGAUGCCCCAACCUGAACCCAAUACUGGAGUCAAUCUAAGUCUCCAUUUCUUUCUCUCUACUCCCAUCUUUUCUUUCUUUUCUUUUUUUUUUUUUUUUUUUUUUUUUGUCUUUUGAGGGCCGCACCCGCAGCAUUUGGAAGUUCCCAGGCUAGGGGUCCAAUCGGAGCUGUAGCUGCCGGGCUACACCACAGCCACAGCAAUGCCAGAUCCAAGCCGUGUCUGUGACCUACACCACAGCUCAUGGCAACGCCGGAUCCUUAACCCACUGAGCAAGGCCGGGGAUCGAACCCGCAACCUCAUGGUUCCUCGUCAGAUUCGUUUCCGCUUGUGCCAUGAUGGGAACUCCCCAUCUUGCCUUCUUGAUAAUGGAAAGCCCAGCCCCUAACCCUCAGCCGACAGACAUCAGGUCUUGAUCUCUGCUAAUGAGCUGGGAAAUGGAAACCAAAUGCCUGAUGGACUAGGGGAUCCCCCAGAUCCCUGCUCCAAACCGCAGAGGCGCAAAUGACAUUUCUUAGGGAGGCAGGACGACAGAGCACUCAACUCAAGCACUUGAGUUUUAAGUUAUCCCAGGUACGGUGGCCCCACCAGGACACAAGAGGCUGGUCCCUGCUGUCUCCUCUCUUCCACCUCUGCCAGGAUGCUGAUGCCCUUGUGACAACUAGAGGAACUUUUCAAGGGUAUUUGUUUUGUUUGUUCGUUUUGGCUGUGCCCUCGGCAGGCGAAGUUCCUGGGCCAGGAAUGGAAGUCUCGCCAUAGCAGUGACAAUGCCAAAUCCCUAACCCACUGCAUCUCUCUCAAUGCCACCAGGGAACUCCCCAUUUAAGGGUAUUUGGAGGCCACAGUGGUUGGACUUAGGUGCAAACUAGCCCAGCAACUCCUCUGCGGAGCCUGGUUCUCCCCACUGUGACACUGCCUGGGACAGUUCACUUCCUCUGGCCUGGCGGCGGUGGAGGGUGUAUCCACAUGGACACAGAACUGCUUUUAUUCCCUUCUUUUUUGACAGCUAGGACCUGCCUCCCAGAUCAUGGGGGCACGCCCGGGGUGGGGAGGGGGGUUUCCGUGGGAUGUAGGAGUCCCCCUCCCAAAGUGCACCUCCUCUGCUCUCUGGUGCUAGACAGCUCCCCACAAACCCUGCAGUGGGUCUCCUCCUGUGUGGGGGUCACGCAUUCACAGCCGGGAGGGAAGUAGGUGCAUACUCUGUGAAUGCCACUCCCCCUCUCCUCGCAGCACACGCAUGCACACUUGGGCUCAUUCAGCCCACACAGACAUGCCACACGCAUGUGCGCACACCCAGAUGGAGGACACGUGCUCUGUAAAAGCCCUCACUGUCAUUCACAGUUCAGGUGUCACUUUGCUACAUGCAUGCAUGCUCACACACGCACAGAUACACACACGAUAAAUAAACAUGUAUCCCAAAGCCCACACACACACACACACACACACACACACACACACGAUAAACAUGUAUCCCAAAGGCACUUCCCAGGCCACACAGGAACAACUUUCCAAGCAUUUUCAGCUUUUCUUUUUUUUGAGGCCUAUGAAAGGAAAAGGACCUCUUACCAUCCAUUCAGAGCUUGGGAAGAGGGGCUGGAAGAAAGGGGAAUUUAAAGAGAUGGCUUAGGGAGUUCCUGUCGUGGCGCAGUGGUGAAUGAAUCCAACUAAGAACCAUGAGAUUUCGGAUUCGAUCCCUGCCCUUGCUCAGUGGGUUAAGGAUCCGAGUUGCCGUGAGCUGUGGUGUAGGUCGCAGACACAGCUCAGAUCCCACAUUGCUGUGGCUCUGACAUAGGCCAGUGGCUACAGCUCCGAUUAGACCCCUAGCCUGGGAAUCUCCAUAUGCCGUGGGAGCGGCCCAGAGAAAUAGCAAAAAGACAAAAAAAAAAAAAAAAAAAAAGAAAGAAAGAGAGAGAUGCUCCAGCUACAUUUGGCUUAGGGACCUAAAACUUAAUUGUCUGCCUACCUACAGUCCCCUCCUCCCCCAACAUGCCUUGGCCUCAGCGCCAGAAGUGGGGGGCCCUAGGCAGAGCAGCCAGGGGGUCCAGGGAGCAACCUGAGGUCACUCAGUUCUUUAUCUCCUGCUGCUGGCAGGGGCCUGCAGUGCCUGAGGGAGACCAGAUGGCCAGGGGAUGCUGCCACCAAGACAGAGCUAGAGUGACAAGAACCACAGCUUCAGACUGAGAUUCUGAUGGCGCAGGUGCUAGUGCAUCAGGGGCCAGUGAAAUUGAGGCCGGGAAUCCAGGAGACAGUGGGACGGGCAGUGGGGUGGGUGGGGAGAUCCCCCAGCAGACUCUAGGCUGCCCACGACCUUCCAGAAAGGGGGCCCCCAUCCAAGAGAUCCAAUACAAACACACACACACAAACAUGGCACAGGCUAGGGCACUGGGAGUUGACCAGGAAUCCAGUGCUACCAUGUGGGCACACAUGCUGGGACUGGCACUGAGAACCCAGGGCCCCGUGAGCCCAGGACAGCAAGAUCAAAGCUGCCCCCCCAACCCCCACAACCCCUCAGAAUCAAAUCUCAGCACAACUCCCCAGUCAGCCAUCUAGGCAGUCAGAGCUGUGGAAUGUGCUGGAGAGCUUACCCCCUUUCCCCACCCCCAUUACAUUGAUAAAUCAAAUCCAGACACAAACCCAAUCCGCCUGAUACCCUAGCAAAAGCGCCCCCCCCCCCCCCCCCCGCUUCACACCCCAGCUGAUUCCAGAAAUAGCUCUGGCCCAGCCAGGCUGGCCCUGCUCCCUCCCUCCCUUCAGAAGCCACUAUUUGCCCACCAAGAGUCUGAACACACACAGCACAGGCUCUGGGGACAGAGACAUCCCUUAGGGAGAGGCUGCAGGGAAGAGGAGGCUUGGGUGGUCGACCCUUUGCUGUAAGUAAGACAGGUCUCCCCACCCUUUGUCUCUGCAUUAUAAAUAAAUCAACCAAACACCAUUGUCUAGGGUUUUUUUGGUUUUGUUCUGUUUUG